rnacentral:lncRNA from 1 species
UACCGAAGCUCAAGUGACAGAAGAAGACGAAGAAUUCUUUACCAAGAACCGACAUCCGUAUGAUGUAUAUCCAUAUCCUGAUAUUGUGUACCAAUACGAGGGAACUCGCUUAGUGCAAAAAGUCUUUUUCCCUCCCUCCCGCCUCAAUUACGUACGGCUUGUUAAAAGAAGAGGACCUAUAACUCCCGAGGAAGCCGCUAUAAAGGAGCCAUACUAUCAUCACCUUGUUGCUUCUGGCUGGGGUGGCAAAGUUAAACCGAUGGGAAAACAAUGGUUGGCCAGGCUUAGUUGAAACUCUGCAGCAGCAGAUUCUUAAAUGUUUUGGUGUGUUUAUCACUUUUCUCUACGGAUUGUUGUCGCUGCAUUUGUUGGAAUGCGUUUGAAGUUUGAUUAUGUCCCGCAAAGUCUUGCUGGCUGUUUUAACGAUACUCGCAAUCGAAGAAGAAAAGAUGAUCAUGUG